rnacentral:tRNA from 1 species
GCUUCUUUAGCUCAGUUGGUUAGAGCGUGAUGCUAAUAACGUCAAGACCUCAGGUUUAACCCCUGUAAGGAGCA